CAGCCGCCACGGUAAUACGUAGGGUGCGAGCGUUAAUCGGAAUUACUGGGCGUAAAGCGUGCGCAGGCGGUUUUGUAAGACAGGCGUGAAAUCCCCGGGCUCAACCUGGGAAUGGCGCUUGUGACUGCAGAGCUAGAGUGCGGCAGAGGGGGAUGGAAUUCCGCGUGUAGCAGUGAAAUGCGUAGAUAUGCGGAGGAACACCGAUGGCGAAGGCAAUCCCCUGGGCCUGCACUGACGCUCAUGCACGAAAGCGUGGGGAGCAAACAGGAUUAGAUACCCGAGUAGUCCCUGUCUCUUAUAC
rnacentral:rRNA from 1 species